GUCCUAGUCUUAACUGUAAACGAUUCCAUCUUAGAAUUGGGUGAAUAUUUGAUGAUUCAUCCAGCGCUAUAAGAGAAAUCAAAGUCUUUGGGUUCUUGGUGGAGUACGAUCGCAAGAUUGAAACUUAAAGGAAUUGACGGUUUUGCACACCAUGGAGUGGAGCCUGUGGCUUAAUUUGACCCAACACUGGGAAACUCAUCAGGACAACAAAGUUUUAGGAUUGACAGAUUGAUAGCUCUUUCUUGAUUGACUUAAUGGUGGUGCAUGGCCGUUCUUAGUUGGUGGAGUGAUUUGUCUGGUUAAUUCCGUUAACGAACGAGACCUUAACCUACUAACUAGUACGACGUGACGAACGUUAGUUACUUCUUAGAGGGACAAUGUGUAUUUUUAACACAAGGAAGUUUAAGGCAAUAACAGGUCUGUGAUGCCCUUAGAUGUCCUGAGCCGC
rnacentral:rRNA from 1 species